rnacentral:misc_RNA from 1 species
GAUGAAGAACGUAGCGAAAUGCGAUACGUAAUGUGAAUUGCAGAAUUCAGUGAAUCAUCGAAUCUUUGAACGCAUAUUGCGCUCUCUGGUAUUCCGGAGAGCAUGCUUGUUUGAGUAUCAGUAAACACCUCAACUUCCAUAUCUUUUUUGAAAUGGGAGUUGGACUUGAGUGAUCCCAACGCUUUUCCUCACCGAAAAGUGGCGGGUUACUUGAAAUGCAGGUGCAGCUGGACUUUUCUCUGAGCUAUAAGCAUAUCUAUUUAGUCUGCCUAAAAAACAGAUUAUUACCUUUGCUGCAGCUAACAUAAAGGAGAUUAGUUCUUGUGCUGACUGAUGCAGCAUUCACAAAGACAGGCUUCGGCCGACUUUGUAAACUCGAUCUCAAAUCAAGUAAGACUACCCGCUGAACUUAAGCAUAUCAAUAAGCGGAGGA